rnacentral:rRNA from 1 species
GAUGAACGCUAGCGGCAGGCUUAAUACAUGCAAGGCGAAGGGGCAGCAAUGUCACUGUCGUACGGGUGCGUAACGCGUAUGCAACCUACCUAUCACUGGGGGAUAGCCCGGGGAAACCCGGAUUAAUACCGCAUAAAACAGGGGCACCGCAUGGUGAUAUUUGUUAAAGAUUUAUUGGUGAUAGAUGGGCAUGCGUUCGAUUAGCUAGUUGGUGGGGUAACGGCCCACCAAGGCGACGAUCGAUAGGGGAGCUGAGAGGUUGAUCCCCCACACGGGCACUGAGAUACAGGCCCGACUCCUACGGGAGGCAGCAGUAGGGAAUAUUGGGCAAUGGAUGCAAGUCUGACCCAGCCAUGCCGCGUGCCGGAUGAAGGCCCUCAGGGUUGUAAACGGCUUUUAUUCGGGAAGAAGAGCAGGGAUGCGUCCUUGUGUGACGGUACCGAAUGAAUAAGCACCGGCUAACUCCGUGCCAGCCGCCGCAGUAACAC